rnacentral:rRNA from 1 species
UGGGGAAUAUUGGACAAUGGAGGAAACUCUGAUCCAGCAAUUCUGUGUGUGUGAAGAAGGUUUUAGGACUGUAAAACACUUUUAGUAGGGAAGAAAAAAAUGACGGUACCUACAGAAGAAGCAACGGCUAAAUACGUGCCAGCAGCCGCGGUAAUACGUAUGUUGCGAGCGUUAUCCGGAAUUAUUGGGCUUAAAGGGCAUCUAGGCGGUAAGACAAGUUGAAGGUGAAAACCUGUGGCUCAACCAUAGGCUUGCCUACAAAACUGUUGAACUAGAGUACUGGAAAGGUGGGUGGAACUACACGAGUAGAGGUGAAAUUCGUGGGUAUGUGUAGGAAUGCCGAUGAUGAAGAUAACUCACUGGACGGGAACUGACGCUGAAGUGCGAAAGCAAGGGGAGCAAACAGG